rnacentral:rRNA from 1 species
UACGAAGGGAGCUAGCGUUGUUCGGAAUCACUGGGCGUAAAGCGCACGUAGGCGGAUGUGUCAGUCAGGGGUGAAAUCCCGGAGCUCAACUCCAGAACUGCCUUUGAUACUGGGGAUCUCGAGUCCGGAAGAGGUGAGUGGAACUCCGAGUGUAGAGGUGAAAUUCGUAGAUAUUCGGAAGAACACCAGUGGCGAAGGCGGCUCACUGGUCCGGUACUGACGCUGAGGUGCGAAAGCGUGGGGAGCAAACAGG